UUGCCUCAGUAACGGCGAGUGAAGCGGCAAGAGCUCAAAUUUGAAAGCUGGCUCCUUCGGGGUCCGCAUUGUAAUUUGCAGAGGAUGCUUCGGGAGCGGCCCCCAUCUAAGUGCCCUGGAACGGGCCGUCAUAGAGGGUGAAAAUCCCGUCUGGGAUGGGGUGUCCGCGCCCGUGUGAAGCUCCUUCGACGAGUCGAGUUGUUUGGGAAUGCAGCUCUAAAUGGGUGGUAAAUUUCAUCUAAAGCUAAAUAUUGGCCGGAGACCGAUAGCGCACAAGUAGAGUGAUCGAAAGAUGAAAAGCACUUUGAAAAGAGAGUUAAACAGCACGUGAAAUUGUUGAAAGGGAAGCGCUUGCGACCAGACUCGCCCACGGGGUUCAGCCGGCAUUCGUGCCGGUGUACUUCCCCGCGGGCGGGCCAGCGUCGGUUUGGGCGGCCGGUCAAAGGCCCUCGGAAUGUAACGCCCCCCGGGGCGUCUUAUAGCCGAGGGUGCCAUGCGGCCAGCCCAGACCGAGGAACGCGCUUCGGCUCGGACGCUGGCAUAAUGGUCGUAAGCGACCCGUCUUGAAACACGGACCAAGGAGUCUAACAUCUACGCGAGUGUUCGGGUGUCAAACCCGUGCGCGCAGUGAAAGCGAACGGAGGUGGGAACCCCUCGGGGUGCACCAUCGACCGAUCCUGAUGUCUUCGGAUGGAUUUGAGUAUGAGCGUAGCUGUUGGGACCCGAAAGAUGGUGAACUAUGCCUGAAUAGGGUGAAGCCAGAGGAAACUCUGGUGGAGGCUCGCAGCGGUUCUGACGUGCAAAUCGAUCGUCAACUUUGGGUAUAGGGGCGAAAGACUAAUCGAACCAUCUAGUAGCUGG
rnacentral:rRNA from 1 species